GGGUUCUUGUCGGGGUGCCCCAUUGCGAGGGGCUGAGAUCGGAUAGUUCCGGAUCCCGUUGAACCUGAUCGGGUUAAGACCCGCGUAGGGAACAAGAAGUCCGCGUCC
rfam:Pseudomonas knackmussii B13 complete genome